GGCGACUUUCUGAGCUAUCCAGCCGAGCCCGUCGUAGAGGCCCUCACCGGUGAUCGCGCAUGAGGCCUGUAUGUGCCAAUCGUGGUUCUUUAUGCUGUGGAGGGAGAGAGCGUCGGUGAUCUCAGCUGGCGACAUGGCGUCCUUGAGAUCCUGCUUGUUUGCGAACACGAGGACUACUGCGCCCUCGAGGUCCCCAUGCUGAAGCAGCCGGAAGAGCUCAUCCUUG
rnacentral:misc_RNA from 1 species